GGGAGACUUUCUCUGCCGGCCAGUGGGAAGUUGCAGUUGAAAUUUAUCCUGGUGAUCACCUAAGGCCGCUUCCUCCGGGUACCAGAGAGGAGCUGAGAGCAGAGACCAGAGCGAUUGCCUGCGGUUAAUAAGUCCACCGGUGGUCAGCUCUCCUGAAUCCUGAAAACUUGACUCCUUCAGUCGGUGCUCAAUCGACAGACAGCACCUCUUAAAAUCUAUCCAGUUUCGCAAAUGUCUGUCGAGGGCUGGCUACCAAGUGCUGUGUGAAGUUCUCCGGAGACACAUAAACAUGAAUAAGCCAUGAUUGACGUUCAGAGAGGCUCACGGUUCACAGAGGAGCCAAUUGUACCAGGAGCUGCUUGGACUACAGGCUGGAAAAUGCAAAUAUGGAGGGAAAAAGGCAAGAGAGUAACUAACCCCUGCGGGCGCUCUGAGCUAUGUAUUUCCAGGACAGCUUCACUCCAUAGGACUUGUGUAUCCUUGUAAGUAGUAUGUUCUCACAUUUCCAUUUGCUAAAGUGUCAUUUCCUCCCCUCCCCCAUCUAUGAUUUUAAUGGUAAGGGUGAGGAAAUAAGUGACAAUAAAAUACUCCCCCUCUAGCCAAACACCUGCUCCUCACCUCCCGUGCAGGAGAAUCACAGCCUCUCGACUCUGCGCAAUAAUUUUCCUUUCCCACACCCAGAUUCCCUACCCCAGGCCUUACUGUAUUUCGAGCUUCCUUAGUAUCGUCCCCCUUUGGGGCCUGAUGGUGGAUGCGAGGAAGAUAGCCUCUCCCCCUUUGGGGCCUGAUGGUGGAUGCGAGGAAGAUAGCCUCUCCGUGGCUACUUAAGGCCCUUUAUGAAUGCCUUGAAGACUCUGGGCCAGCCCUUUCCUUGGGGGGCCACUCAGCUUUUCAAGUUCUAGUUCUCAGAAGACAUGCUUCAAAACCAGAGGUUAUUUUUAGUCCCUUCGUGUUGUGCGAUUAGGCAGCAUUUGUCCUUUGGUGAUGGCCUAUUUCUCUUACCGUAAUGCCUCCAGGUUCAUCCGUGUUGCCACCUAUAAAACAGUCAAACUUCUGGGAUCAGAGAGUAGAGUGAUGGGUGCCAGGGCCCAGGGAGAGGGGGAAAUGGGGAGUACAGAUUCAGUUCUGCUAGACAAAUGCUAGAGAUCUUCUGGACCACGUCGUGCCUACGGUUAACGAUACUGUAUCGUGCACUUAAAAAUGUAUCGAGGGUACAUUCCGUGUUAAAUGUUCUUACCACAAAGCAAAACAAAGCUAAAGAUGACACUCUAGGAAUGUGGGAAGGGGUAUAUUUACUAUACUACCUCUGAUACCAAUCCUAAAUGUUUAGAAGAUGAAGCUAUACCCGAACGGUCCUCUCCUUUUCCAGCCCUUUAACUCCGUCUCCAAAUCCUCUUAUAUCUCAGGAUGGUCUAACGUGCAUCUGGACCGGCCGAUACACGUACACAAUCUCCCACACAUUGAGCACACAAGGCACGUCAGCAUGCCUGUGCACACACACACACACGCUCACCCCUAACUCGGUGACCCUCUGUGCCGCACUGGCCUGUGCAGAGAAAGUUCUGAUCUGAUUAAUUACACCAAUUUCUCUUUGCCCCUCACAAAGAAAUCUUUCUUGCAUAGCAGAGAUUUUUUUUUUCCAGCGAAGUUUGCUGCAAUCCUGGUAAAGCUAUUGUCUCUGCUAUGUGCCUAGGACAUAUUACAGAACAUUCUAUCUGUUGUGAUGGAUAACAUCAUACACUUCAGAAUCAGUUUGCUGAAAAUAAAAAGUAAGUUUUUGGAAAAAUAGAUUUUCCUUUUUCUUAUUCACAGAAAUUUUAAACUAUAAAAAGUCUUCGAGUGAAUAAUGUACACGUGUAUUAUUUAAGACAUACAGGUGCUAUCUGUAAAGUAAAACCAACAAGUCAGUUUUUAUGUUGACCAGCUGGGAAAUGUUGUUUUAGCUUUUCUUACACAAUUAUGCGCAUAUUACUUGCUUUUAUGAGUUACUCCAGUUCUUUUUUUUUUUUUUUUUUUUUUUUUGCCCCUUUAUUUUCCGGAAAUCAUCUUGAAAUCAAACCUUACUGGAAACACAUGGAAAAUCAGGAAUUUCCAGCCUACAGUAAUUUGAAACAUUUGAGGUCUUUAUUUUUCCCUUCAUGGAGGCAAAUUUAAGAAAAAAUUUCAAAUUCCUUAAUGAGUAGUAAUUGUAGUAGGUAGGAGUUGCUGUUCUAUAGCAACAAUUGUUAUUGUUGUUGUUGUUUUAAUUCAGGUUUCAUGGUAACAACACCUUGCUCAAGCUCCAGAAUAUUACAGUCUUCUUUGAAAGGAUUCGAUCUCUCCAUGUUAAAUGUAUUUACCUUAUUCUGGUCAGUAAAGUAAGAAGAGGAAAUUAGUCUAAACAAAGUUGAUAGACACCAAUUGGUUACUGUUUCACUCCCCACUGGGCAGGAAGGAAAUGGACAAGGUGACUGGGGAGUCAACAAGCUUUCCUCUCGCUUACCAUGCUGAGGUCACUGCAAGUUGCUUAGAUGAUUUAAGAAAGACACUCAGUAUCCUUUUUUUCAUGGCUGUCCAUAGGCUAAUACAUAUCUUUCUAACACACAUCUGUCCCAGUCAGGCACUAACAGAUGGAAAAGCAGAUGAUCCUACACACAGAUAGGUGUUCAGAUGAAGGCACUGAAGUUUUUAGUUACUUUCUUUUACUUAGGAGGUGAUGCUCAUCCUAUACCUCUCUUUCUGUCUCCAGAAUCAUUUUGGAAACAUGAAAUGAGACUGCCUGAAUGACGAUUUGAUUCUACAUCGCAGGAAGAACCCUACCUGUCAAUCACCAUCAACUCAACUGAGCCUCCCACAGUCGCUGAAACACUCCAGAAUCCCAGCAAGAUUGCUACAUCUGGGGGGGGGGGGACGCUUGGGUAGCUCAGUUGGUUAAUUUUGGCUCAGGUCAUGAUCUCUUGGCUGUGAGUUCAAGCCCCGCAUGGGAUUCUCUCUCUCUCUCUCUCCCUCUCUCUCUCUCUUUGCCCCUCCCCUGCGCAUGUUCUCUCUGUCUCUCUAAAUAAAGAAAUACAUAUAAAAAUAAAAGAUUGCUACCUCUGAUCGCUGAAAAUAGGAGCAGAUGAGCCUCAGGCAGCAGAAGAGACAGGGAAGUAGAGACUGAUUGAUUUAUCUAGUUCAGGGAACUGUUCCUUGACCACAUUUUCCUGCAUUCUUCCCAAAAGCUAGACUCCUGCUUUUGUUUUUCUCAUUUCAGGAUCUUCUUCCAACCCAUCUACACCCUUUCCAGUCUAGGUAAGUGAUGAAACCAUGAUUCCCCUUGUCCUUCAGGAAUGGGGGACAUCAAAUUUUUAGAGAACAGAUCUGGGUAGGAAAGGAUAAAGUUGUCACUCAGUAAGACUCAAACCUGUGUUUUAAAUCAUCCUGUCAAGGGGAGUCCUCACCAGAUCUGCCCACAAAGGUUAUCACAUCCUUGAUGGCCCAUGUCAGCUGAAGCCCAGAUGAUUUAGGGGACUCUGUUGAGUGAUACCUGAAAGGUUUCUUUUUGACUCAUUACUUUAGAAUUAUUUACCAGUCGUUGGAUGUGAAUUACUGAACACACACUGACAUGUGAUUGUGUAAUCUCUAGCCUGGUUCUCUGCAUCUCGGAUCUUCAUUUAUUUCUGCCACUGCAUCGAUCAAGUUGUCAUCAUUUCAUUACACCUGGUAGUGUAUGAGGUGGCGUUCUUUGAGGAAAGUUGGAUGAGGAAAACGGUGCAUAUUAAAACGGAAAAGACUGGAGGCACUUUCAGAGGGAAACUGUCAGUCGGGGACGGCACAGAGAAAGCCUCUCGGGUGUAUUCCACAGAUACACUCUAUGGAACCUGCAGAAAAUUUAAAAAUGACUUAAAAAAAUUGCUGAUGGAGGGUUAAACAGCAGAGGAUCCCGUGGCCUCUCUGUUAGCUCCCAGCUAAACAGGUUACCCUCCAAGAAAUGCACAACGAUGUCUUGAGACUAUGAGGUGUCUUGGAGUUUUAUUUUUCCUUCGCCGCAUUUGAUUGUAAACCUUGUUUUGCCUUUGAUCACUGACAGGUCUCACGGCUGGGUCCCUCCUACACAAGUCAAUUUUGGCAUGCUGAAUGUAGUUCAGUGUCUCAGAAUUAUUCUUGUCUUUCCCCCUUCCUUCCACA
rnacentral:lncRNA from 1 species